CUGGAAAUAGUCUGAUCACAUCUUCAUAACUAGCCACAGUCAAUUCACUUUUACCAACCACAAAAAUAAAAAAUACGUGCUUUCUGUAAAUUCAUUUGCUAUCUUAAAGCUUUCAAAUCAAAGAGAAAAUAUUUACGUCUGAAAUACAAAAUUAA